rnacentral:rRNA from 1 species
AAGAAACCAACAGGGAUUGCCUCAGUAACGGCGAGUGAAGCGGCAAAAGCUCAAAUUUUAAAGCUGGCACCUCCGGUGUCCGCGUUGUAAUUUUGUGAGGCAUCUCCGGGUGGGGCGCCGGCCUAAGUUCCUUGGAACAGGACGUCAUAGAGGGUGAGAAUCCCGUGCUUGGCUGGCUGUCCCCGUCCAUGUGAGGUGUCUUCGACGAGUCGAGUUGUUUGGGAAUGCAGCUCAAAAUGGGUGGUAAAUUUCAUCUAAAGCUAAAUAUUGGUGGGAGACCGAUAGCGCACAAGUAGAGUGAUCGAAAGAUGAAAAGCACUUUGAAAAUAGAGUUAAAAAGUACGUGAAAUUGUUGAAAGGGAAGCGCUUGAGACCAGACUUCGGUGGGGAGUGAUCAGCCGUCCUUCUGGGCGGUGCACUUGCCCCCCUCCGGGCCAGCAUCGGUUGGGACGGCGGGAUAAAGGUCCCGGGAAUGUGGCUCCUCUCGGGGAGUGUUAUAGCCCGGGUGAAUGCCGCCAGCCCCGACCGAGGACCGCGCCUUCGGGCUAGGAUGCUUGGCAUAAUGGUCUUCAGCG